rnacentral:lncRNA from 1 species
CCUCAGUGUGACCUGACACAUGGCGUAGAGGAAAACGGGAGGUUUCAAUUCCACAGAGUGAGCAGAGGGCUCUCACGAUGAAUGUAGCCAGACUUCCAUUCUGGGAAUGGGAACUUGAUGCUCCAUAAAGCUUUGUGAAGUGUGGCCACUGCAAAGCUGAGGAGGGAAGCGCAUCACUCCUAAGAGCAGCUGAGAGGUGAGAGGCGUGAGCCUUUGCAGUAGCUUGGCCCAGAAACCUGUAAACGUCCAGCAUAUCGAUCAGAGGAGGCAACUGAAGCAAAACAGUUCAUUUGAGAAUUGCUUUUCCCAGAAGAACCAAUCUCGCGGUGCCUUCGAGAUCAGUUACACACAUCUGCUAGGGUGUACUUAAAACACAAGUUGUGGGGCUCCUUGAAAUCCAUUUUGGAAAUCAUCAUCAUAUAUACAACAGACAGGCCUCACAGAGAUCACCAACACCCGGCAGAACAGCUCCACUGUGGAGCGUAACUAUCUGACAAGAAAACAAAUGCUAUUGGUUCUCCCCAGAUAUGGGAAAAUGUGAGACAACUGUGCUGUCGACAAAGGAUUUUCAGCACCUGGACUCAUUAUCUGGCUGCCUGCCAUUUUCUUAGUAUGUGUGUAAUUCUGCAGCAAAGUUUCCAGGUGCCCCUGCAGCUUUGACUGCCAUCAAGGCUACAUGCAGUGAGAGCCUAAUGAAGCCUCCAGUUGGUCUUUGUGGAGCCCGCUUGUCCCUGAAUGGUACACUAUGUCCCCACUGGAUGUCCCGAUCUCACAAUGCAGCCUUUCCUGCCAACUCGCAGUAAUGACAGCCUGCUCCAGUUGCAAAAGAAAAAGCAUUUCCUAAGAGUCUCCUCCCUCAUGGGCACGAGGAACAACUUCUCUCUAAACCCUUGACAAUUUACCUUCUGAACUUUUACCUGCUUGGCCUUCCUUAGCUAAUUAAAAAAAAAUCUAACUUUCA